rnacentral:rRNA from 1 species
CCCUUAGAUGUCCUGGGCCGCACGCGCGCUACACUGAGUGUCUGAGAUACGAGUCUGCCUGGUCCGGCAAGGUCUAGGUAAUCGCUAAAAGACACAUCAUGCUUGGGAUAGAUUAUUGCAAAUAUUAAUCUUGAACGAGGAAUUCCUAGUAAGCGCAAGUCAACAGCUUGCGUUGAUUACGUCCCUGCCCUUUGUACACACCGCCCGUCGCUACUACUGAUUGGAUGUUUAAGCGAGGUUCUCGAACUGCUAGCGACUUAGCUUCGGUGAGGUCGCAGUGUGGGAAGUGAACCUAGCUUUGGUGUCUAGAGGAGUAAAAGUCGUAACA